AAGGAUCAUUACCGAGUCAUGGGGAGGUUUAAGAUGCUGGCUCUGUCCGUGCUCCCUCCCCGUUUACCAAACCCACUCAACCCCCUGUGCACAUAUGAGGUUCGACUGUCCGCGAGGACGUGUCACCUUGUUUCUUCACGAAACCACCUUCCCUGGCAUGUAAUCAGAAAGCGCGCGUUUAUAAUACAACUUUCAACAACGGAUCUCUUGGCUCUC
rnacentral:misc_RNA from 1 species